rnacentral:rRNA from 1 species
UAAGACGAACCGUGCGAACGUUGUUCGGAUUCACUGGGCUUAAAGGGCGCGUAGGCGGGCCGCCAAGUCCGGGGUGAAAUCUUUCGGCUUAACCGGAAAAGAGCCUCGGAAACUGACGGUCUGGAGGGAGGUAGGGGUCUGCGGAACUGCUGGUGGAGCGGUGAAAUGCGUUGAGAUCAGCAGGAACGCCGGUGGCGAAAGCGGCGGACUGGACCUCUUCUGACGCUGAGGCGCGAAAGCCAGGGGAGCAAACGGGAUUAGAUACCCCGGUAGUCCUGGCCCUAAACGAUGGGUACUGGGUAGUGGACCAGACAUGGGUCCCCUGCCGAAGCCAAAGUGGUAAGUACCCCGCCUGGGGAGUAUGGUCGCAAGGCUG